rnacentral:lncRNA from 1 species
AAAAGAUGUGGUAUGAUUGCCAAUGAGAUAAUUCUCCACAAGAGACCAAAAUGACACAGAAAUUAACAACUACAGGUCACCGUAAGGCCAUCAACAAUGAGCAAAGCCAAUUCCGCAUAAUCAUCUAUAAAAGGCCCUGAAAUGACAAUGUAAAACAAUUUAAACGGGAAGACUAACAGCCUUAUUUAUGUACAAAAAAUAAAUGAAAACGAAUAUGUAACACAUAAACAAACGACAACCACUGAAUUACAGGCUCCUUAUAUCAUGUUCUCAAAUCUAGAUAUCAUCUCCCAUUUAGAAAAAAAACACAUGAAAAAAUGAACCUAGAAAAAUGUAUUAUGUGUUGCUCUCCUAGCUACAAAAUGUAUCCAAAAUCAAAGAUGUGGAACAUAUUCUAUCAUAAUCAUUUGGUAACUAAUGCAAUUAAUGUCUCUUCCAUGCCCGUCUUGAACAUAAAAACUAAAUAAUAAAUAAACAACACUCCUAAUGCUCAGAUUGUUUGUCAUCGUGCAACACAACUAAUA